rnacentral:rRNA from 1 species
ACGUAUGGUGCAAGCGUUAUCCGGAUUUACUGGGUGUAAAGGGAGCGCAGGCGGUGCGGCAAGUCUGAUGUGAAAGCCCGGGGCUCAACCCCGGUACUGCAUUGGAAACUGUCGUACUAGAGUGUCGGAGGGGUAAGCGGAAUUCCUAGUGUAGCGGUGAAAUGCGUAGAUAUUAGGAGGAACACCAGUGGCGAAGGCGGCUUACAGGACGAUAACUGACGCUGAGGCUCGAAAGCGUGGGGAGCAAACAG